rnacentral:tRNA from 1 species
CCUUUGAUAGCUCAGCUGGUAGAGCGGAGGACUGUAGAUCCUUAGGUCGCUGGUUCAACUCCGGCUCAAUGGA